UACAGAGGGGGCAAGCGUUGUUCGGAAUUACUGGGCGUAAAGGGCGCGUAGGCGGCCUUCUAAGUCGAACGUGAAAUCCCUGGGCUCAACCCAGGAACUGCGUCCGAUACUGGGAGGCUUGAAUCCGGGAGAGGGAUGCGGAAUUCCAGGUGUAGCGGUGAAAUGCGUAGAUAUCUGGAGGAACACCGGUGGCGAAGGCGGCAUCCUGGACCGGUAUUGACGCUGAGACGCGAAAGCAUGGGGGAGCGAACAGGA
rnacentral:rRNA from 1 species